CUCUUCUUGAGUUCGUUGGUCGGCGGAGGAGGAGGCGACCGAGCAGAUUACGGUGAUGGUGGGGACGACGGAGGAGAGCGUGUCCGAGGAGACGUUGGAGUCGAUGGAGAAGGUGACGGGGGACCAUGGAGGAGCGCGACCUCCUAUCGGUCGCCUACGAGAACGUCGUCGGCACCAUCCGCGCCUCGAAUCGUCUCCUUCAUGAAGCAGAAGGAUCAGAGUUCGGUAACGGGUCGGCGUCGCCGGAUCCAUGGCUACUGAGCCAAGAUCCAGACCGAGCUUGGCAUCCUCUGCCUCGGCGCUGGUUUGAGGUUUACAAUGUCAUGAAGUGCCACGACCGACGCCUACCCGGCCGUGUUCAAGAUCGGCUUAGGCAAUAGCUACGCCGCCUACAGAUCCGUCCAGGGCGAGAUAAGGCCAUGCUGAGUCUUGGGGACAUUGGGAUGUCGAUCUGGCAGUCGCUUGCGAACCUUGCAAUAAGAUGAUGCUCAAGAUGACCGCCUAAGCAUCCAAUCACGUUGAGGCUGUGGCACAACUUUAAGGUGUUACAUCACUCUGCUGUCAGAUCCGUUGAUCAUUCAGGAGAAGCACAUCUUUAAGGCAUUUUACGGAGCAAUUGCAGGGCUGGAUACCCUAAGAGAGGAAUGCUAAGUUAUGUUUCAUCGUGCCAGCACUGGAAGAAUCCAAUUCAUUGUGGUGGAUGUGUUUUCAAUGGGAGGAUGGAGGAAAUGAGAUUAAAUAACCAACCAAACGUGAAACAAACAGUAGUUAUGAUUAGUAGUGUCAACCUGGUGACGUUGGUUUCGACAAUACCAGAAAUGGAGCAGGCAGUGAUCACCAAAACGUUUACUGAUAACAUCAUAUCAACAGACCUGGUCUCCUUGCUCGAUCAUCGUCAAUGAGAGGAAAGUUUUCCCAAGUGCCAGCGGCAAUAUCACAGUUGCCUCAAAAUACCUAAAGGAAUUGUCAGAGCCUGACAGGGUGAGUAUCGACACGCUGUACUGUUAAAUAAAGAUUGCUGAAUUGGCCGAUGUUCAUUUCACUUUUAUAGUCCAGCCUAAUUUCACCAAGGUACGACAUGCGAAUCUAUUCAUCUCUUUCUGUUGCUGUGAAGAAUUAAGUUUUACGUUCUUAAAUUUGUUGUAUAUCCACGAUCAAGCAAUACAGAUAGCCCCCGUCCUGACAUUUUUGGUGUGCUAUUUUGCAGUAUCUGAUGGUGUACUGUAGAUCGAUAAAUUUAUUGAACUUCAGCAAUCGAUUGGAUGCGAUAAACACGUGGAAGAAGCUAUAGUUUUGUUCCAUUCUCUGCUCUCCGUCUUGCAUAUAUCUCAGGCCUUCAAGUUGGCUACAUAUUAACCAUACAAAAAAUCUGGUUCUGUCGAAGGAAGCUGGAGGCUCCAUGGUUGAUCAAGGCCGUCCUUGUCGUUGUCCACUGCAAGAACGGUCGAUAUUGCUUCAGCCGGCGUCCCCUUGGUGUCGUUUGUGAUCGGACGGGAAGCAUUCGCUGAUACCCCCACCGAUCUGGCUCUGCCUUUGCCGACACUAAUCGGCAUGCGACAGAAUUCAGACAAUGAUAACGAAGGCUGUAGGUUCCCAUCAUGCACGGACGUUUGGUACCCGGGGACCAGUCAGAGAGGCGCACGUGUAAGGAGCAGGACGGCUGGAGUGACAGCUAAGUUCCGUAAGUUUUGAAGUUUUGGUACGAGUAUGAGACAGCAUGUCACCGGUGGGUCCGAUCCAAUCUAAACACACACGCCAGAGAAAGUGACGGUUGGUCAGCUGCUGUUGCUACGGCCUCAUUUCGGAUCUGCAAAACUCACAGGUGUGACAUAGGUUGGGCCUCUCCUACUUUUGGAACAUGCAUAGGUGACCGUGAACCGAGCCUUCCGCCCCCCCGACUGUGGUAGCUCAGUUCGUUUGGGACUGCAGGCGUUGUCACCGGUUGUUGACAGCCAAGCUGGUGUUGCUACUUCCACAUGGGGUAGGAUUGGUAAAUUACCCCUUCUCACUGUGCACCAGAGGGGUAAUUUCUGUGA